UACAGAGGGUGCAAACGUUGCUCGGAAUCACUGGGCGUAAAGCGCGUGUAGGCGGGUCAGCAAGUCGGGUGUGAAAUCCCUGGGCUCAACCUAGGAACUGCAUCCGAAACUGCUGGUCUAGAGUGCUGGAGAGGGAAGCGGAAUUCCUGGUGUAGAGGUGAAAUUCGUAGAUAUCAGGAGGAACACCGGUGGCGAAGGCGGCUUCCUGGACAGUGACUGACGCUGAGACGCGAAAGCGUGGGGAGCAAACAGG
rnacentral:misc_RNA from 1 species